rnacentral:rRNA from 1 species
CCUACGGGUGGCAGCAGUGGGGAAUAUUGCACAAUGGGGGAAACCCUGAUGCAGCGACGCCGCGUGAGUGAAGAAGUACUUCGGUAUGUAAAGCUCUAUCAGCAGGGAAGUAAAUGACGGUACCUGAGUCAGAAGCCCCGGCUAACUACGUGCCAGCAGCCGCGGUAAUACGUAGGGGGCCAGCGUUAUCCGGAUUUACUGGGUGUAAAGGGAGCGUAGACGGCAGGGCAAGUCUGGAGUGAAAGGAUGCGGCUCAACCCUAGGACUGCUCUGGAAACUGUACGGCUGGAGUGCAGGAGAGGUAAGUGGAAUUCGUAGUGUAGCGGUGAAAUGCGUAGAUAUUAGGAGGAACACCAGUGGCGAAGGCGGCUUACUGGACUGUAACUGACGUUGAGGCUCGAAAGCGUGGGGAGCAAACAGGAUUAGAUACCCGGGUAGUC